UUACCUGGGCUUGACAUGUAAGUAGUAGUGAAGGGAAACCGGAAUGAGCCUUCGGGCAGCGUAGACAGGUGCUGCAUGGCUGUCGUCAGCUCGUGUCGUGAGAUGUUGGGUUAAGUCCCGCAACGAGCGCAACCCGUGUUGCUAGUUACAAGUGUCUAGCGAGACUGCCGGUAACAAGCCGGAGGAAGGUGCGGAUGAUGUCAAGUCAGCAUGGCCUAUAUGUCCAGGGUUACACACCCGGUACAAUGGAUGUUACAAAGAGAAGUGAAAGGGCGACCUGAAGCGAAUCUCAUCAAAGCCAGUCAUAGUUCGGAUUGCAGGGUGCAACUCGCCUGCAUGAAGUCGGAGUUGCUAGUAACCGCAGGUCAGCAAUACUGCGGUGAAUACGUUCCCGGGCCUUGUACACAC
rnacentral:rRNA from 1 species